GGUAAAUUAACAAAUUUCAACUCCACUAUUACUUAUCAUUGAUCAUUUUAUUUCUCUCUGUACCUGCUACAAUUAGGUGUCUGUAUAGAUUUCUUCUUUUAUGUUUUAGCAACCUACAAAACAAGUCUUGGAGAGACAAUUAAAUCUCAAAUUUAGAAACUAACUCAAUUGAAAUCUUUAUUAUUUUAAAAUUCUAUCAUCCAUUUAAUAUAAAUAAUAUUUCAAUUUAAUUUUGCCCCUCCUCUCUCUUUCUCAACACUAUUUCAGUGCAAUGUAAAUAAAAUGAUAACAUAAAAAAAUAAUUUCUUUAAUGAAAAGGUAACUUCAUACAUAGAGAGUGCUAUUUUUAGGAGAAGAAUAAAUUAACAAUGGUGUAUUUUUAUUUUUUGGGUUAGAUGCAUAAAAAAUCCUUCUCUUAAAUGGACAGUACAAUUUCUACACUUAACUUAUAUUUUUAGUUUUUUUUAGCCAUGAUUAAUAAGUAAUGAAUUAUUUAUAAUUUUAAUUCCUUCUACGCUAAUAUAAUUUCUUGUUUAAUUGAUCUGGAAGGCUUCCUUGAUCUCAAGAAGUUGGAAUACUUGGAUUUGAGUUACAAUACUCUCAAUAAUAGUAUCUUCCAAGCCAUCGGAACGAUGACCUCUCUUAAAACAUUGAAAUUGGAGGGUUGCAGUCUAAAUGGCCAAAUACCUACAACACAAGGUAAGGUUAGGUUGAUGACUCUUAUUCUCUCUCUCUCUCUAGGUUAUGUAUUUUCUAUUAGACACUCAAAGUUUUAUUUUUUUUCUAAACUAUAAUGUGAUUAAGCUUAUGUAACUUAAAUCAUCUUGAAGAGUUAUGUAUGUAUAUAAUUUCUCUUUUAUGUUUUCGCAACCUACUAAACAAGUCUUGGAGAGACAAUUAAAUCUCAAAUUUAGAAAUUAACUCAAUUGAAAUCUUUAUAUUUUAAAAUUCUACCAUCCAUUUAAUAUGAAAAAUAUUUCACUUUAAUUUUGCCCCUCUCUCAACACCAUUUCAGUGUAAUGUAAUUAAAAUGAUAACAUAAAUAACAAUAUAAAUUCAUAUAUAGAGUGUGCUAUUUUUAGGAGAAGAAUAAAUUAACAAUGGUGUAUUUCUUUUUUUGGGUCAGACAUAUAAAAAAAACCUUCUAUUAAUUGGACAAUAUAAUUUCUACACUUACCUGAUGUUUUUUAUUUUUUUAGCCAUGAUUAAUAAGUAAUGAAUUAUUUCUAAUUUUAAUUCCUUCUACGCUAAUAUAAUUUCUUGUUUAAUUGAUCGUGACAGACUUUCUUGAUCUCAAGAACUUGGAAUACUUGGAUUUGAGUAACACUGCUCUCAAUAAUAGCAUCUUCCAAGCCAUCGGAACGAUGACCUCUCUUAAAACAUUGAUAUUGGAGGGUUGCAGUCUAAAUGGCCAAAUACCUACAACCCAAGGUAAGGUUGAUCACUCUUAUUCUCUCUCUAGGUUAUAUAUUUUCCAUUAGACACUCAAAGUUUUAAUUUUCUCUAAAUUAUAAUGUGACCAGGCCUAUGUGACUUAAAUCAUCUCCAGGAGCUAGAUAUGGGUGACAAUGAUCUUAGUGGUGUCUUGCCUUCAUGUUUGCCAAAUUUGACUUCCCUUCAACAACUCUCUCUCUCUUACAAUCACUUGAAGAUUCCUAUGUCAUUGAGCCCAUUAUACAACCUUUCAAAACUCAAGUCUUUUUAUGGUUCAGGUA
rnacentral:lncRNA from 1 species